UAGAAAAUGCUUCAAAAAAGAAAAGAAAGGAGCAGCUAUUUUGAAGACUGACUUUCUUAAAUUACAUUUAGACAGUGAUGGUUCAGGCUGCUGGAAUAGUGAUGUGAUUUUGGAAUACAGGUGAGGCUUGAUGGGAUGGAGUCCGGAGCCAUAGACCAAGAAAGAAUUCUUGAGGCGUCUAUGGUGCA
rnacentral:lncRNA from 1 species